rnacentral:rRNA from 1 species
UACGUAGGGACCAAGCGUUGUUCGGAUUUACUGGGCGUAAAGGGCGCGUAGGCGGACAGUUAAGUUGGGGGUGAAAGCCCGGGGCUCAACCUCGGAAUUGCCUUCAAUACUGGCUGUCUUGAGUGUGAGAGAGGUGUGUGGAACUCCGAGUGUAGAGGUGAAAUUCGUAGAUAUUCGGAAGAACACCAGUGGCGAAGGCGACACACUGGCUCACUACUGACGCUGAGGCGCGAAAGCGUGGGGAGCAAACAGG